rnacentral:rRNA from 1 species
ACGAACGCUGGCGGCGUGCCUAAUACAUGCAAGUAGAACGCUGAAGAGAGGAGCUUGCUCUUCUUGGAUGAGUUGCGAACGGGUGAGUAACGCGUAGGUAACCUGCCUUGUAGCGGGGGAUAACUAUUGGAAACGAUAGCUAAUACCGCAUAACAAUGGAUGACACAUGUCAUUUAUUUGAAAGGGGCAAUUGCUCCACUACAAGAUGGACCUGCGUUGUAUUAGCUAGUAGGUGAGGUAAUGGCUCACCUAGGCGACGAUACAUAGCCGACCUGAGAGGGUGAUCGGCCACACUGGGACUGAGACACGGCCCAGACUCCUACGGGAGGCAGCAGUAGGGAAUCUUCGGCAAUGGGGGCAACCCUGACCGAGCAACGCCGCGUGAGUGAAGAAGGUUUUCGGAUCGUAAAGCUCUGUUGUAAGUCAAGAACGGGUGUGAGAGUGGAAAGUUCACACUGUGACGGUAGCCUACCAGAAAGGGACGGCUAACUACGUG